UUUACGGGUCAUGCCAUCCUCAAAAAACUAUAAAUAGCCCCUCAUUUCUCUUGAGAGGGGACCCAAUCAAGAGGAAGAUGAGAAGAAGGAUAGGAGGGAAGAAACUCCUCGACCACCGCCGGAAUUCUACCCGACUUCCAUGGGACGCCGGAAUUUUUCCCAACUUCCGUGGGACGCCGAAAUUCUGUCUGAAUUCCACAAUGACGCCUGAAUUUUGCCUGUCUUUCCACUAGACACUAGAACUCUGUCCGACUUCCACUGACGCUGGAAUUCCGCUCGACUUUCCAGUGACGCUAGAACUCUGCCUGGUCUCCAAGUGACUCCGGAGUUCUGUCUAAUCUUUAAGUGAUUCUGAAUUCUUCUCGAAUACAACUUGUUUGUAACUAGAUUCCAAUCCGGAAGUGAAUCAUUGUAAUAUGAUCGUCUUAAAUUUUAAGGACGAGUCAGCCUCUUGUAUUUCAAGCAAAUACUAGUGGAGUUCUUUCAACUGGGCGUGACCCUUGUGAUUUUUUUCCUUUUUCAGGGUUCUCCACGUAAAAAUCCUAGUGUUAUUUCAUCUUCUGUUUGUGUACUGAAUAUCUGUACAAUGCUGAGACGAAAGCUUUUUAACUCUAUUUUCACGUAUAUUCUAGUCCGCAACACUCCUUAAAAAGUAAAAGCCACAUGUGUUGCUCUUAUUCCUAACUCCUAAGAAUAAAAAUGCUCAUAAUAUUUUAAACCCGAGGCCUAUUUUCAUUUACAGUAUCUUUUACAAAAUUAUUGCUAAAAUCAUUACUCCAAGGCUUAAACCUAUCAUGCCUCAUAUUAUUCAUCAUGGACAAACUAUUUUUUGUCAAAAUAGAAUAUCUUCUAACAAUAUAAUCUUGGCUAAUGAGAAUCUGUCUAAAUUUCAUAAUGUUAAAAAGGAGGGGUUCUUUAAAUGUUGUUUCGAGAGACUUUCUUCUCUGUAGAUUGUGUUAGAAAUAUUUUCCUAUUAUUUUUUAUAAGAUGAAUUGAAGCUUCCAUUAAGAAUGUCCAUUACUCUAUUAGUAUAAAUGGUUCUCUUGAAGGGGUUUUGAAUUCCUCCUUUUGCUUAAGACAAGGCUGUCAUUUAUCUCUUUUUUUACGCAUUGUUAUGGUUGGUCUUUCCAAUCUAUUUGAAAGAGCCAUCAUUAGGAAUUCCUACGCUGCCAACAUUAUGGGAGGGUAACAUUUCUCUCAUUUGCUCUAUGCAAAUAACUUAUUAGUCUUUGAGAAAGCUAACCAACCCAACUUUCAUUCACUUGUUGGUAUCUUAACUCACUUCAAAGAAUUAUCAAGGUUGAGUAUCAAUUCCUCCAAAAGUUUUAUUGUCUUCUCUAAGCAUAUCCAAACUAGUCUGAGCUUUGUAAGGAGCUGAAUUUAACGAGAACCAAUCCCUCGCUCACAUAUCUAGGUAUUCCUAUCUCUAUGUAAAGACUGCAUUUGCUGACUUCCAGCUUUUCUUAAGUGAAAUUUAUCUUUUGCUUAAGGGUUGGAAAGCUAAACCACUUUCAUUUGCUGGCAGAAUGCAAUUUCUGAGGUUUACAAUAUUGAAUAAAGUUGCAUUCUUACUUAGGGGGGUGUUAUACUUAAAACCUGCUUCAAAUAGUUAAACAAACUUUUGGCAAGUUUUUUUUAUUUCUUGGUGAUAUUAACACUAGAAAGUUACAUCUCAUAUUUUAGUCCAACACAUUCAAACCAGGUUAUUUAGGUGGUCAUGAUAUUUCUGCUCUUGUUGCACUAAACUAUGCUUAUAAAUGUUCUCUUAUUUGGCUUUUUCUUAUAAGUGAUGGGUUACUUGCCAGAUGGUGGAAUUAUUAGUAUAUAUCUCUAUGAAAACCUUUGUCUCGUUCUUUUUAUUUCUGAAAGAUCUUAAAGUUGUUAGUUGAAUAUUUAUGUCUCACAAAUUAUCUUAUUGUAGGAAGGUCUCUCUUUUUCGGGACUCUUGCUACAACAGUAAAAUUUUAUGAUAAGAUCGGAAACGUGAUAUGUGAAGCUUUUGAUACUAAGAAUUCAGAGAAGUUCAGUUGCAGAUUGAAUGAAGGGAAAAAAGCUAUUUGAUUUUUUAAUUAACUGAUGGUCAGAGCCAUUUCAGCAGCCGUUCAGAUGAUUCUUCGACUGGAACAAAAAACUGCUAAGAUUGCUAUAAUAUGGAGGAUGCACAAACUUGAAAGAACAAAUCAAGUUGCUUGAAAUCCAGCGAACUGCAAAGUUUAGAGGAGUUUAAACUCUGAAAAUCUUCAGCACAUGUAAUCCUCCAAAUUUCUGCAGGGUAGGAACAAUGGAAGUUCGUGAAAGUGAUGACAGACUCCUGAAAGUUGAAAAGGGCAACUGAUGGUUUAGCAACAAAAAGCACAUAUGAAGUAAAUACCAUGCUUUCUAGUUUAAUACUACUGACACUUGGGUUUCGUUUGGGACGGUUUUCUUACUGCUUUUUAAAAUAGUUUUUUAGUACAAAAUUUUUAAUUUUUAUUCUAAAAAGCUGUUUUAAGAAGCAGUAAAAAAGCCGUCCUAAACGAAGCCUUAGUUGGAGCUAUUUAUGGCAAUUGCAGCAUAUUAAAUGGUAAAAAAUUAUGCAAUUUUUUCAGUCUAAUCUAUAACUGAACACUGUCAAGUUACUCUAUUUACGAUUCGAUGAGACCUAAGGAAACAUGAAGUUUGAAAUAA